UACGUAGGGUGCAAGCGUUUGUCCGGAAUUAUUGGGCGUAAAGCGUCUGUAGGUGGCUUUUUAAGUCCGCCGUCAAAUCCCAGGGCUCAACCCUGGACAGGCGGUGGAAACUACCAAGCUGGAGUACGGUAGGGGCAGAGGGAAUUUCCGGUGGAGCGGUGAAAUUCGUAGAUAUUCGGAAGAACACCAGUGGCGAAGGCGGCUGACUGGACAUGUAUUGACGCUG
rnacentral:rRNA from 1 species